GCCAUUAUUGGCCCAUACUAUUCAUUAGAUCUGUUUCUCUUUUUCACAUUGACUGUAACUGUGGGAGAAAGAUUAAUUUUUUAGAGGUUGUUUUGAAAACUGUCAGCAACAGAGAGUUUGAUCUGUAUGAGACCCAGUGAAAUCCAUGUUUCAAACAUUAAUAUUGCACUCUAUUUCACUUGAGUGGCAAUUUUAUGUGAGAAUUUCAAUGUACUUUGUGAAUGCUUUCUCCCGAAAGGGAAAUAAUACCUUCAUUAUAUGAAGUUUCCUGCAUUUGUCAUACAUUAUUAAGAUAUUAAAGAUGUUUAUGUUAAUUUAAAAAUCAUUAUGGUAUUAUGUCAGAUGGAGAGUGAAAACAGCAUAAUGUAUAACAUUAUUUAUUGCUAGAAGGUUGUAACUUAUUAUUAUUAUUAACAAAGGCUUUUCUAAAAUGGUUAUUAACAAAUUUAUUUAACCAGCACAUAAUUGAAAACUGAGUGAAUAUAAUUUAUGAUUCUGUCAUUUGUAAGACUGAAUUUUCAAUCAACAUUCACGUGACAGCAUUGUUUGAAAGAAUGUCUGUAUUUUUUGUUCAUUAUUUGCUUAUUUCCCUCAAAAAACAGUAUCCAGCAAUAUUUAUUCAUAAGUUUACUACAGGGUUCUUUUGUCUCAAAGACUUGUAUUUAUUAUUAUUAAUAUUAAUUUGGUAAUGAAUGUGAAUAAUUUGUAAUUGAGUACAUGUAUUAAAACUAUACACAAUUUAUUUCAAUUAAUAAAGCUGUAGAAUAGUAGACUAUAAAACUGUGAGUUAAGUCUCUCAAAUGUUUGUAUCCACGUUAAUAGCAUGAAGAUUCUUAAAUGUAAAUAAUUUUAAAAAUAAGUUCUGUUGCCUAAUAUUUGAAUGUGAAUUAUCUUUGCAUUGUUAUAUAACAAUGGCCAAGUUACAUGUACAUCCACCUUUCUUAUAUAAUUGCAAUACUGAGAACAGUUUAUGUGUAGGUACAUGUGUACCUCGUAAAUGUAGAUGUUUAAAGAUAACUUACAAACAUUUGCUCAAUUACAACUGAAUUUUUUUUUAUACAUUUAAUAUUAAUUAAAUGAAUAUACAUAGUUGAAUAUUCCAGGUAGAUGAAAUAAAAUCGUAUAAAGUUUGCCAGGUGCAAAUUAGAAUAUGAUGCUGUUUUGUUAGCUAGGUAAAUCAAUAUUUUAAAUGUAGAAAUCAAUUUGUACUGCAUUUCAUGCACUGAAAUCCUGUUUAUUUUUUGUUAUUAAACCAUGCCCUACGUAAUCCUGUUGAUAAAUUCCAUGUUGCAUAUAGUACUUUGGGUAUCAUUUCUAUUUAUACUAGUAUGUUUAUAUUUUCUUGUUGGUUUUUUCUUUACUGUUAAUUGUACAAAGAUUUUUUUUUACUUCAUGUUGAUAACUGCUACUUUUAUAAUAAAAAUAAUACUCUUGACAAAUU
rnacentral:sRNA from 1 species